ACAGAGAGCGGUUUGAUAUGUCACUGAAACCAGCAUCCAGGUGGUAUUGCUCCAUAUGCCUGAGACCCUAACAAAAGCCUAAUUACAACUCAUAUGCCUGGAGCCAGGACAUGUGCAGGAUGGUGAUGUAACUUUCCUCUCUGGAAUGGGUCCUGCACAAAGGAAUGAUAGUAACAUAUUGCAAAGCCAGACACACAGAUGAUGUUACUCUUCUGAUAGAGUCCUGAAAAAAGAGGGAAUUAUUGCAUACUGGUGGGCCCAGCUGCUGAUGAUGCUACAGUCCUUCCUGUGCCAGAGCCACAGACAGUAUUUUGACAUAAUUUCGGCCCAUUUGCCAUGAUGGUCCAAGUUAUAUUGGGAUUCAGCCAAUAGAAGAUAUUUUGCCUGUCAUCCCUAAGCUUAGGACAAUAGACUCUGCCAAGAGAGGGGAUUAUUACAUAUUGCAGAGCCCAGCACCUAGGUGGAGUGACUCUCAUCUUUUUCUUCUACCCCGUAUAUAGCCAGCUUGGUGACCUACUAUUUGAGUCUAUACCCAGGCCCAGACCACAGAUGAAAUUGUGCAAUAUGUGGAACAAACACCUAAACAAUAUAUAACACCUUCCUUGGCUCUGUCUACAAAGGGCACUUUUAUAUAUCACUGGGACCAUCAACCAGGGUCCUGCGUACUAGGUGGAUUGUGACAUCUCACUGGACCCGCAACCAUGUAGGUCAUGUGACUUUCAUGCCUUCUCACUGGCCACAGGUGAUGUUGUGCCAUAUAACUGAGACCGUAUCAAAAGCCUAAUAACAAGACGUAUGUCUGGAGCCCCGAUAUGCACAGGAUGGUGAUAUAACCCUCUUCUCUGGAAUGGGCCCCACACAAAGGAAGGAUAGUGACAUAUUGCAAGCCCAGGCACACAGUGGACAUGGUGUCAUAUUACUUGAGGCUGUACCGAGGUGAUGUGACUCUUCUGACAUGGCCCUGUCUGCAAAGGAGAUUAUAAUGUAUCCUGAGCCCAGAAUCCAGAUGAUGAGACUCUCCUGCCUUGUUUCUGCUCACAGGUGCUGAACUCCUUAGUUCUGGAACUAAAUGUGAAUUCUGGACUCCGGAAUGCCAGUUGGCUUUCACAUGCCAGAGGAGUGAGGAGGCCCAGGUGGGCCUAAAAAUGUGGCUGUUGGUUGGCCUUCCA
ensembl:lncRNA LINC00293 long intergenic non-protein coding RNA 293